UACGUAGGGGGCAAGCGUUGUCCGGAUUUAUUGGGCGUAAAGAGCGUGUAGGCGGCUUGACAGGUCUGCUGUGAAAACUCGAGGCUCAACCUCGAGACGUCGGUUGAAACCACCUGGCUAGAGUCCGGAAGAGGAGAGUGGAAUUCCCGGUGUAGCGGUGAAAUGCGCAGAUAUCGGGAAGAACACCCGUGGCGAAGGCGGCUCUCUGGGACGGUACUGACGCUGAGACGCGAAAGCGUGGGGAGCGAACAGG
rnacentral:rRNA from 1 species